rnacentral:lncRNA from 1 species
GGCACACACCACCGGCUCGCUCAGCCCAGAAGCGGAAAGUAUACCUGCCGCGCGCGGGGCCCCGCUUGCUGCCCUCCGGCCAGCUCCAUCCGCUUGUGCCCGGGGACGCUCGGUCACUCCGCUGUCGCCUCUGGCCAGCGGCGCACCGUCUAGGCAAGCCACCUGCCGCCUAGGGCACCGAUCGUCUCCUGCAGCGUGCGGAGCCACCGAGGUGAGUGUCCCCGUGCCCCUUCCUUGCCUCCCGUUGCUGCCCGGCUGCCCUGGCUGGAGUUGACUGGAGAAGCGAGGCGACCACAGGGAGGCCAGCCUGCGGCCGCUUUCCUUUUCAAAGAGUGGCCGGACGGCCCGGUAGGCCCCUCUGGCGGUCGCCGCCUUCCGCUGCCCCCCGCCCGGUGCGGGCCCGGAACUUGGCGUUUUAGGACUCCCGGUCCGGCGGGGUCGCGGGCGGGGCAGCGCGGCUUCCCCUUUAAGGCCGGAGCCGCUCGUCGCCUUGAGUGUGAGGGUGUGUGAGUGUGCGGCGUGCGUGUCUCCUCCUCCCCGAGUGACACAGCAGUGAGAAAUGCCUAUCAGUAACUUAAACCCCCGAAACUCCACCUUCCGGGCGCGCGGCGCGGAGCCGGGCGGUGGGAAUGGAGCGAGCAGACUGAGGCCGCCGCUGCAGCGCCGCCGGCAUGAACUUGGCCGCGAGCUGAAGCGGCUGGCGGCGGGCGGGCUCGGGGGGCACCGGCCGCUACCCGGGGGAGAUCUGCCACCCAGCCGGGCCGCUCGGCAGGCGCCGGAGGCCAGGUUGCCCGCGCUGGCGGCAGCCUGCCCCUUGGGCACUGCCCCCGCCGCCGCCGCCGCCGCGGGAGCUCCGCAGCACGCCCUGUGUCUAGGUCGUUUGGGAAGCGCCUGGGAGAGUCAAGAAUAAAAUUGCAGGUCAAACAAUGGAUGACUGGAAAAGUCGACCUGUAGUCAAGAGCAUGCUUCCCCAUUUCGCCGUGGUGGGAAAUCGUCAGGAGCCCAGAAAGCUCCAAGAAUCGGCACAGGGAACCACUAAGCGGAGACAGGAAGGAGAAGAUUUCCAGCUUUCAGGCAUGGGCGACGAAGGUUACCCUAAUCAAAUCAAGAGACCAUGCCUUGAGGAUGUCACCCUUUCAAUGGGCCCGGGUGCCCAUCCCAGCACAGCCUGUGCACAGCUGCAAGUUCCUGCGUUACCCAUGAACCCUAGUUCUGCAGCAAUGGCAGCCCCUGGCCAUCCGUUACUACUGGACAAUAGCCCCAGGAAUGGCAGCGUCAUGGGCCCACCAUUUGCAGGGCCAUCAACAGCAGAAAUGGGAGUGAAAGGCCCCUCUAUUCCUUACUAUGACAAAACCAACAGCGCACCGGCUGUGGAUCAGGAACUUCAAGAUCUGCUGGAGGAGCUCACAGAAAUUCAAGAAUCUUCUCAGAGUGAGCUCGAUCUUGAGAAAAUCCUGGGGACCAAGCCGGAAGAACCGCUGGUCUUACACCACCACCCACCGGCAACCUUAGGUGCGACGGCCAAGCCCACGGUUCAGAUGCCACGCUUGGAGAGCCUCAGUUCCGGCAAGGACUUUGCUUCCAGUUGCAGCCAGGUCACUGGGGUGUCGCUUCAGAUCCCACCCUCCUCUGCGGGGCUCAGCUAUGCAAUUACGCCUGCCAGUAAGCAGAUGGCCUCCCCAAGUUCCUCGACUGUGCAGGCCAAGAAUCAGGCCCAGGUGACACUCUCAGCUGCCCUACCGCCACUCCCAGUGUCUCAGUGGCAUCAUGCCCACCAGCUGAAAGCGCUGGCGGCCAGCAAGCAGGGCUCCAGUAAGAAGCAGCUGGGCCCCACCACCAGUUGGUCUGCCCUGCCUCCUUCUGGCCUCUCCCCACCUUACCAGCCAGCGCCCGUGGUCUCACCACAGCCGCUGUCGCCCUUCAGCCCUCAGGGGCUCAUGGUGUCCUGUAUGUCAUCAAACAGCCUGCCGGGGAGCACCCUCCAGGGCUCUCCCAAUGCCUUACUGUCCAGCCUGGCGCCCAGCAGCAGCACUGUCCUUGGGCCGGCCAGGCCCUACGUGCCGGAGAAGUUCCCUAGCCCCACGCUCCAGCAGCCACCACCAUUUAGCGCGCAGACCUCCAUCCUUGCCAACCUGAUGUCCUCUACCAUCAAACACCCUCAGGGGCACCUGAUGUCUGCUCUGCCCACCAGCAACACGGGGCCCUUAACCCCCUAUCACCCAGAGACACUGUCUAGCCCAGGCCUGCCCCAGCAGUCCUUCACUGCACAGUGCCCCCUGAUUCAGGGCCUCACCACCUCCACUCAUCCACUCUGCCAGCCGCAGCCACCAGCCAGUGCUAUCUACAAGCCCAAAACCCUGAACAUGAUCAUGCAGCAGGGCCUGACCAGCCCCAGCCCGGGAGCCUCAGAGCCCUUUCCUUUCGGCAACACCAAGCCCUUGUCACAUUUCAUCUCUGAGCCAGGCCCCCAGAAGAUGCCGUCAGUGCCCACCACAUCUCGGCAGCCUGCCUUGCUGCACUACCUGCAGCAGCCCACACCACCACCGGCCUCUUCUGCCACGGCCUCAUCCACGGCCACCUUGCAGCUGCAGCAGCAGCCGGAUCUUUCUUCAUUCCUCCUGCAGCAUGUGACACAGCAACCACAGCGCUUUCAGCGGUCUCUGGCCUCGGGGGAUUCCAUGCCUUCUCUGCCCAGACAGCGAGAGAAGCAGAGAUCAGGUCUUAUGGCAAUGACCCCUGAACAGCGCAAUUCACGUAUCGCCCAACGGAUGAGUCAAUUUCAAGCCAUCCAAGAUCAAGUCAUCUCUAAGUGUAGCCGGACCAAGGCAAGCUCCCCACCCAGCCAGUGCAUGAUACCACCCAGAGCUGGGCUCCUUCAUAGCAGUCUGAGUUCAGGAAUGGCCUCACCCAUCAGGCAGCAAAGCCAGGAGAUUUUCAGCUUCAGACCCCCGUUUCCCACACCCUCACAAUUGGGCCACAACCCCCUGGGCAGCCUCGGCUCCAUCUACCAGCACAUGGGGAUACCCAAGGCUGCGCCUGCAGGAGUGCCCCUGCCUAGAUUCUAUGCCAGGCCCCUGGGCAGCCAGGCCCUGGGUCCUCACCAUCUCAGACAGCCGCAUAUGUCAGGAGUGUCCACCGUACUCCACAGCACUUCCUGGGUGGUGGCAGCAGCAUCUCUGCACACCCCAGUCUUGAGGGAGCCACCCCUGAACCAAGCAGCUCAUGGCAUGCAGCAGCAUUAUGAUAGCAGUGCCAUCUUUGCCAAGGCCCUUGUGACAACCUCCCUGGAAGCCCCAGUGUUUCCCUUGCAGCAGGCAGUUGUGUCCCCUAGUCGGGUGGCCCUAGAAGGCAGACCUAGCCAGAAGGUGGGUCCUGCGCCCGCCAAGCCCAGCUUCAGCCUGCUAGGCAACAAUAGUGUCAGGCAGAGCCCGGUGCAGGGCCCCGUGCCCACACCACAUGCCACCAAGUCCCUCCAGAAAAGUAUGGUCAGCUUCGGGCCUGAGAGUCCCAUCCAGGCCAUCGAGCCACCAAGCUCUGUGGCUGCCGCUGCUGCCCCCUCCAUCGUGGCUGCUGGCCAGUCCCCGGCCAGUCCCUGUGACAGAACAGGGAGCCCAUCUGAGUCGUCGUCCCAGUCCCCACUGGACGAUCUUAUUUCACUUCCUGACUGUUCUGAAGUGGAUUUCGACACUUUCAUGAUGGAUUCCACCGAGAGCCCAGAUGAAGACUGGAUGGGCAACCUGAGGCUGAUCAGUGGCACUGUAGAAGACCAGGCUGCUGACAAGGGUGCCAAGGCCCAGAGUGUGGGCCACGUCCCCCAGAAUGCUGACAAGCUUUAA